UGUGAUGAUCUUUGAGAGGUGCGGUACGAGGUGUCCCAGCAGGCCAGGCUGCAAAGCCAAAACAAGUCUCUGACCUCAAAGGGGUGGAGGUGCUGAGAGCCUUAAUUUACAGAUUAUGGGUGUGAGUCAGGAAGAAGUGGGGACCUGGGCCAGUUGCUGGCAAAGGAGCACUGAGCAGGAGUCCCUGGGAGAUCAGGAGUCCUUGGGAGGAUUCUCCUGGGAGGUCAGGAGUCACUGAGAGGAUUCCCUUGGGAGGUCAAGAGUCCCUGUAGGUCUUGCCCGGAAGCUUCUCCCAGCUCCAAGUAAUCAUGCAGGGUCCCCACUAGAGUGGUAAGUGAAUCACAGGGGUUCUUAUUCAGCUGAUGUGUAAACUAUUGCUCAUCCAGGAACACAGGCCUCACAGCUGGGAAUGACUCCCUCCACUGACCCACACACGUCUCAACCCCGCCCCCUUGGCUCCUGGCAGCUUCCUUCUCCAGAAGAGUCCACACUAAGGCAAGCUGCUACCUCUGUACACACCGGCCAUGGUGACCCACCAGUGUCACCAAGAACCCAGGAUACAGAUGGUGUCCCAGUCCCUGUUCCAAGCAUCGAAAUGCAGAACACACAGCAAGACCAAGGGAUGGAUCAGGGAAACAAUGCCAAUCAGGGAAGGCUUAGCUACAGAAUGCUUCCAUGAACCCAAUUAGAUGCAAUGAAGGCGGUCAUGCCACGCCCCCAACUCCUCCUGUCAUGUGACUGUCCCUGGACGCUGAACAGAGAGUUUGGCUGGGAACUGUACACACUUUCUUUGGCCAAAUACCUUCAGAGUUCCAAGCACUCAUGACUGCUAGAGGAACUCAGACACUAGAUGACACGGGAUUGACCACAGUGACAGCAGACUGGACCUUUGGACCCCCGUUUGAGUCCAGCCUGGUCUACUUAAGUUCCAACAGGGGCUACAGAGUCUCAAGGAAAAGGAGACAGUGGCGGGCUGCCUGCUGAGUUCCUGUGAGCCCUCGAGUUCAGGCCUCAGCACUCCAUCCUCCACUCAACCUGCAAGAGCACAGAACACAACACAACAGCGUGGGAAUGUUCUGCCUGCCUCUGGCCCCACACCCAGGCUGCAGGGCUCCUCAUCACUGUGGACGACAUUCCUCCUUAGCCCUAGAGCGUCCUACCGUGUGUCACCACCCAGAAGUAAAACUCCAGCCACCUACCUCCAGCAGUCACAAUUAGCCUUUCUGUGCACGUGCCAUCCCCUCAUCCGACUUUGGAGUCAGGCUCUAAUUUAUGAUCUCCCACAUCCCACAGGGCAUCCUCUGCUGUGGUCCUCAGGAGCCCGUCUACUUCCGACUUCUCCAGGUCUCUACUCAUAGCCUCCUUGCCCAUCUCCACACAGGAUGCUUGACAUCUGAUGUCAGGCCUUCUCACGGAAGCUUUCCGUGGCUGCUCUAUCAGAGAUCCACAGUUCUCUGUACCAGUGCCUUGUCCAAGGUCAAAACCCCAAGCUUUGUUCCCUGGCCCACUGGUGGUAAAUUGUUGUCAACAGA